CCUUUCCACCCCUUCCUCUGGUUCCCUGCCCAGCAGCAGCAGCUUGGCCCUGUCUGAGGCAGAGGAGCUCCUCGUCACGGCAGGCGUGUUGGCCGGAGAUAAGAUGAAGAUGCCGCGGCACCAGCAACCUUUCAGGGCACGGCGAACGAGUGUCAAGACACUCGGACGCUAAAAGGUCAGCCUGUUUUCGUUCUGUGCGCGGCUCACAACGCGCUGAAUGGCACCGAAGGAACAGGCUCUCGGCGUGUUCUGUGGGGGUGAAGAUGUUGCCAUGAAAGCGGCUGCCAGGGCAGACGUGUGGGGAGGAUGUGAGGCUGGAGGCGUCGGUGACUCCUGCAGCCCUGAGACGUGCGGGGGCGUGACGUGUCAUUGUUCUGCUCCUGGAUGUUGGCUCGUCUGGGGGAUCGCGUUUCAGAGCCGGAGGCUCGACUUGGUCCAGAAGAAAAAAAUAACAAAAAAGAUGAAUGUAAAAACAAAGUUGAUCCCAAUUGGGUGUGCGCCAGUUGCACAGAUUUCUUUAAUUUUGGGAGAUUGGUGAUCAGCCGAUACCUGCAUGCGAAGCCGAUCUUAUCCUCCGAUCUUAUCAACCUUGGUAGAGGUCUAAAAUUCAACCACUGUCCUCUUCUGCUCUCCCGUUAGAGAGGUUUGAUUGAUAGACCGGCCCACCAGGUUAUGUCUGCAAGUUUGCAGUUAACACUAGUGACCCCACUGUUGCCAACUCAGUGACUUUCUUGGUAUAUUUAGCCACCUUUCGGACAAUAAAAAAACUGGCAUUGGGCAAAAUAAGACUCAGCAGGUCAGGCUUUGUAAAGAUCGACGAUCGGCCACAGAACUGCAGUUGGUGCAGUCAAAGUCCUAAAAGUUUGAAGUUGUUGGGGUCUUUUUUUCCCGGCACCAAAUCAAAACAUAAAUACACAUAUCUUGGAAAAUGACUCAAAUGAACUUUUUCACACUUUGUGCGUUACCAGGAAUUUCAUAGUCCCAACCUCCAGCUCAGAGAUAUUUGUUUUUAUAUAAACCCGGCUACGUGUGCACAAGACCUCAAUCUGUAGGCUACAACCAGCUCACCUUGCUCUUAAAGCAGAGAGGAUCUAAAGUUUACCAUUUGCACCUUGACAAAGAUGACUGACAUUCACUGGGAAGACAUACAGCGUGGAUAGCGUGAAACGUUCAGGAGGUUUGUGAUUUAAGUCCAUGCGAGCCGGUGAAAGCAGUUAAACCCGCACUGCUGGCUCCAGGGUGUGAUAAAGCCAGGAGUAUCUCUGGAUCAGAGUGAGUUUUAAAGGUUCUGGCAGACAUUAAACCGACAGCAGGCCUGCAACUUCUCAACCACCGUUCGACGACCCGGCGGGCCGCUCAAAGAGCCUCUGGGUCCCGCUGGCAUUCCGACCGAGGCCGGCGAUCACGAGACGAGCCGGAGGAGACGCAGUCUCUCUCAGAGGGAGCCCGAGUGAGGGACGUUAGCCGGUGGGACAGUAAAAGCUGGACAGCUGUAAAAGGGUGGAGGGAGUGAAGGAAGUCAGUUCACUGGCUGAACGGCUCAGGUGGGAGAAUCUGUUGACAACCGUCGGUCUCAGGAACCACAAAUCCGGCAUCCGAGGAACGUCGUGGUGGAAGAAAGCUGUGACGUAAAUUGUGGUAAGCCAUGUGGAGCAGGGGCCUCAUAAUGAUUACGAAUGCACUCCAAGGGCCAAUUGUGGUAAAAAUGUAUCAAUAAAACUAUCUAUUAAACUGCUAAAAUAUAAAUAAAUCAAUAAACAGGAGUCUCUUUGACUUCUUAAAGUCAAAUAACAUUGGAAAUUUUUCACAUUGUUGUAAUUAGGCAAAAUAAAGAUAGAAAGUGCUUUGAUUUAAUUAAUAAAAUAAUAUUUAAGUACACAACUUUUUCCUUUUUUAAGGCUCUAUUUACGUCUCUCUAGAGCUCCGUUGUCAAACUGAAGGUCCAGGGGCCAAGACUGGCCCGCCAUGGCUUUUUUAUGUGACCCACCAGACUCCAGACAGACACAUAAAUAGAACGUUCAAGAAAGCAGAUAUGUGUAUUAUUUUAUCAAAUCAAAGCAGUUUUUUUCCAUAUUCUUACCUCCAUGUGAAAAUGUUAUUUAACUUGAGGAUGGACUCAUCGAGUACAGAGGCGCCUAUUUUGGCUUUUCGAAAAAGCCAAAAGCCACCUCAAACUUAAGAACCGUUUUGUGAAACUAAAGAAGUUAUUUCAAAUUUUGCAGUUUCCAACAGAAAUUUCCAAUGUGAUAUUUCAAAGAGCGCUUGGAAAAACACUGCCUGGUGAGAGCAUUUGAUGUCCACUUAGCUAAACUUUACAUUAGAAUGAAAAACGCAAGUUCAAAGCACUUGAACAUAUUGGCACACCAAUCACUUCUGUAUGACUUUGACAUUGAGGUAUAUUAAUCCCUUUUUGCUAAAAGGGGUUUUUGUGUUUUAUGCCACUAUCACUUUUGACCAUUAUUUUGUAAAUUUAGUCUAUCUGGCCUUGAUCAUAUCACAUCCAUCUCCUUCCUCGGGCUUGAAGAUUGAGUUGUUGUUUUUUUUAGAUUUGUCCCUCAUGUGCAAAGAUUCACCUGGAUCCUGCAUUCGGUUCAACGUUUUGCACCAAAGGGACUCACUUCAGAGAAGAAGGCACUCCUCGCUAUACGUGAAGACACUCAUCCCACGGAGACAAAAGGAAGUGUUUGGGUAGAUAGACGAUAGAAAUCUAGCUGUUUCAGGCUCCGCAGAGUGGCCAGUUUUUCUCGCUGAGCCCGCCUGAUUCUUCCGAACCGACUGAGGGUUUUGGCAUCUUUUCAUUUAGUCAAACAGGUUUCUGUUCACAGAUCUUUUUCCCUCUUUUCAUCCUCAUCCACAUUUUUCAGGAGUGUGGCAUUGCUAAUAAACUGCUUUUAGCUCGUGUC